rnacentral:misc_RNA from 1 species
AUAAUCAUUAACAAAACAAAACAAGAAACCCACCAAGAAAGCUCCAUUAUUCGCUCUCUGCCUUCCUCUUUCUUGUAGAAAUCUCGAGUUUCAAGCCAUGAAUCUGUCUGGAACCGCGGGUAUUACCAGAGCAACGUUGUUCUUCUUCUUCUUGUUGUUCUGUGUGUUUCUAGGUUCUUGCAUUUUUCUGUCCUAUACUAAUAACAGUGCCGCCAACUGGCCAGCCUGCUAUGUAUCGACCCUCUUGGUUGCGGGGCUCUUAUUGACGUCAACAUUGGUGGUUAUCGCCGCCCGUGCCACCGUGUUGGCAUGGAUCACAGUGCUAGUUCUGCUAGCCUUCGCCGGGAAGCGUCGAGGAGUGCUUGUUCAACAGGGGAGGAAAAUCACUACUGAUGUUGUUAUGUAUUUGUUUAAUGAUUGUGCUUGAAGAUGGCGUUACAGAAAUCACAUGAUUUCUUUGUAGAAUUUUAUUUUAUUAUU